rnacentral:rRNA from 1 species
GGCGCUGGAGAAUUGAGGGGGGCUGCUCCUAGUACGAGAGGACCGGAGUGGACGCAUCACUGGUGUUCGGGUUGUCAUGCCAAUGGCACUGCCCGGUAGCUAAAUGCGGAAAAGAUAAGUGCUGAAAGCAUCUAAGCACGAAACUUGCCCCGAGAUGAGUUCUCCCUGACYCYYURAGRGUCCUGAAGGAACGUUGAAGACGACGACGUUGAUAGGUCGGGUGUGUAAGCGCAGCGAUGCGUUGAGCUAACCGAUACUAAUGAACCGUGAGGCUUAACCUU